GAUGAACGCUGGCGGCGUGCCUAACACAUGCAAGUCGAGCGGAUAAACGGAGCGUGCGCCCUGAUUCAGCGACGGGCGGGUGAGUCAUGAACAGGAAGCUGCCUGAUCUUGGAGAAUUACGUAAGGUCGGGGGCGCUAAUACAGCAUCCGUGCUUAGGGCGAAAGUGGUGGUUCUACGGACCUCCAGCUCUCUGUUGACCCUCGGCGGAUUAGCUUGGUGGUUGGGGUAAGGGCUUACAAGGCGACGAUACGUAGCCGGCCUGAGAGGAUGAUCAGCCACACUGGAACUGAGACACGGUCCAGACUCCUACGGGAGGCAGCAGUGGGGAAUAUUCGGCAAUGGGCGAAAGCCUGACGCAGCCAUGCCGCGUGUGUGAAGAAGGUCUUCGGAUGGUAAAGCCCUUUUAGUUGGGAGGAACGGCAGUAAGUGAAGACGUGGCUGUUUUGACGGUACCUACAGAAGAAGCCCCGGCUAACUACGUG
rnacentral:rRNA from 1 species